rnacentral:rRNA from 1 species
AUUGAAUGCUGGCGGCAGGCUUAACACAUGCAAGUCGAGCGGGGGAGGGUAGCUUGCUACUGGACCUAGCGGCGGACGGGUGAGUAAUGCUUAGGAAUCUGCCUAUUAGUGGGGGACAACAUCUCGAAAGGGAUGCUAAUACCGCAUACGUCCUACGGGAGAAGGCAGGGGAUCUUCGGACCUUGCGCUAAUAGAUGAGCCUAAGUCGGAUUAGCUAGUUGGUGGGGUAAAGGGCUACCAAGGCGACGAUCUGUAGCGGGUCUGAGAGGAUGAUCCGCCACACUGGGACUGAGACACGGCCCAGACUCCUACGGGAGGCAGCAGUGGGGAAUAUUGGACAAUGGGGGGAACCCUGAUCCAGCCAUGCCGCGUGUGUGAAGAAGGCCUUAUGGUUGUAAAGCACUUUAAGCGAGGAGGAGGCUACUCUAGUUAAUACCUAGGGAUAGUGGACGUUACUCGCAGAAUAAGCACCGGCUAACUCUGUGCCAGCCGCCGCCGUAA